GUGAGGUAACGGAUCACCAAGCCGAUAAUCGAUAGGGGCCGUGAGAGCGGUUGCCCCGAGAUGGGUACUGAGACAGCGACCCAGGCCUUACGAGGCGCAGCAGGCGCGAGACCUCCGCAAUACACGCAAGUGUGACGGGGUUACCCAAAGUGUCCUUAUUGGACUGUGGCGGGUGAGUAAUGUUCCCCGCUAGAAAGGAGAGGGCAAGGCUGGUGCCAGCCGCCGCGGUAAAACCAGCUCUUCAAGUGGUCGGGAUAAUUAUUGGGCUUAAAGUGUCCGUAGCCGGUUUAGUAAGUUCCUGGUAGAACCGGGCAGCUUAACUGUCCGUAUGCUAGGAAUACUGCUAUGCUAGAGGGCGGGAGAGGUCUGAGGUACUACAGGGGUACGGGUGAAAUCUUAUAAUCCUUGUAGGACCACCAGUGGCGAAAGCGUCAGACUGGAACGCGCCUGACGGCGAGGGACGAAAGCCAGGGGAGCGAACCGGAUUAGAUACCCGGGUAGUCCUGGCCGUAAACGAUGCAUACUAGGCAAUGGUGCGGCCAUGAGCCGCAUCAGUACCGUAGGGAAACCGUUAAGUGUGCCGCCUGGGAAGUACGGUCGCAAGGCUAAAACUUAAAGGAAUUGGCGGGGGAGCACCACAAGGGGUGAAGCCUGCGGUUCAAUUGGACUCAACGCCGGGAAACUUACCAGGGGAGACAGCAGAAUGACAGUCAGGUUGACGACCUUACUCGACGAGCUGAGAGGAGGUGCAUGGCCGUCGCCAGUUCGUGCUGUGAGGUAUCCUGUUAAGUCAGGCAACGAACGAGAUCCGCGCCUUUAUUUGCCAUCAAGAAGUCACGACUUUGUUGGGACAAUAAAGGGACCGCCGUCGAUAAGACGGAGGAAGGAGCGGGCAAAGGCAGGUCAGUAUGCCCCGAAACCCCUGGGCUACACGCGGGCUGCAAUGGUGCGAACAAUGGGCUGUAACUCCGAAAGGAGAAACCAAUCCCGAAAUCGCAUCUCAGUGGGGAUUGUCGACUGUAACUCGUUGACAUGAACGUGGAAUCCCUAGUA
rnacentral:rRNA from 1 species